GGGGGGUGGUCAGUAUUUUAAGGUUGCAGCCUUGGUGGAGAUGGAUCCUCUUAGCCUGUCCGCACGGCUCUCCCUCCUCCUGCAAGCCGUGAAUCAGCGCUCUCCUCCUCCUCCUCUCUCUCGGCUGCGAUAGCGCAAGAAAUCUGUGAUGUGGCUGUUAGAGACACUGGCGUAAAGCUCCCCGCCUGCUGUCUUCGCUACAGAUGUGACAUCGUGUGUUCAUGGAAAGCUCAGCUGUGCAUCCAGCUCUCUGAGUUGUCAGGGCUCUCUGCUGGACUUGGCGCACCAUCGGAAUGACCGCGGUGUGUCUCCUGUGCGCUCCCCUCAAAGUCAGUUUCUGCAGCUUGCAAUAAAAGCUGGAGAUGAGUGUGCCGUCCUCGCGUGAGUAAUAUUUUAAAAAUUUGUAUAGUUAUCAAUAUUAGAACCACUCUCACGCGAUGAUGAUGUGAAAUGGUUGCGCCCUACAGCCCUCCGCCCCCCAUUUCUAAAAGUCACACAGACAGACUCGGUUAGGCGCGCAACUACGUCACCAUCAGCUGAGAGAAGAAACCUGCAACACAAACCGCGAAUCUCUUCCAGACCCACAGUCCGCUGCUGCUAAGAAUGAGAGGAAGGGGAUAAUCGAGAGACUUUGACCAGGCCACUUCAAAACCUUCAUUCUGUUGUUUUGGAGUCACUCAGAGGUGGACUUGGAGUGGUGGACAUCAAUCCAUCUUCUACCAACUAUCUAAGUCCGGGUCGUGGAGGCAGCAGUUUACGCAGAGACGUCAAGACCUCCUUCUUCCUGACCACCUCCUCGAUCUCCCUUAGUACAGUUAAUUAUGAUUUGUGAAAUAAUGACAUUAAAAUUUGCACCAAAAGUAACCAACACCUUCAUCUCUGUCAAGAGGUCCAAUUCAGUGACUCAGUUUAGCAGCCAUCUGUUGCCUACAGACACCUGUGUCCGAAGUGGCAAAUAUUCAUUAACACAAAUAAAACGUGUGAGAUCUAAAAUACAA